UAAAUAGGAUUGCCCAACCGUACUGCAAG
rnacentral:sRNA from 1 species